CUGUUUCAAGCAGUUUUAAUUUCAGGCAGUGGUGGCACCUUUUUUCUGUUCAAUUAUGGUGACUGUGCGGUGUUAUUUGAAGGAACAGAGGCUGGAUACGACACAAUAAAGUCCACAUACAAGUUUGUGAUUCCUGAUUCAAUUACCAACUACCAAAACCUCAAGAGCACAACUAAUGUAGGCGUUCCCGGUCGCUGGGCCUUCAACGCAUAUGCAGCUCCGGCGAUAUUCUAUCCAUUCGGCUUGGCUGUAGGAGACACUGAACAUCCUGGCUAUGACGGCUCAUAUCCUGUUGCCCUUUCAGCCCCAUUUACAUUCUUUGGCCACACGUACAACAGCUUAAAUGUUUUUUAUAAUGGACUACUAACAUUCACAUUGUCGCCAGCAUUAACACCUGACUCUAAUCCCUUUGGAGGAACAGAUGAUUUAAUUUCUGGAAUCUUUAAUGACUAUGAUGAAUAUUACGUUGGCUUUUACUCAUAUCAGGAGUACACAAGUGGAAGUGUGCUCGACCGCGCCACUCAGGAUAUAAACCAAAAUU